rnacentral:tRNA from 1 species
GCAGGUAUAGCUCAGUGGUAGAGUGACUGCUUAGCACUCACAAGGUCCUGGGUUCAAUCCCCAGUACCACCC